rnacentral:lncRNA from 1 species
UCAAACUUAAGCACACAAGCUUAAGUUUCCUCAAGUAAUAGUAAAGUAUAUGAAAAUAUACAAAUGCUCUUAGAUGAACCUAAAGAGAGCAAAUACAAAUAGUACAGAGUAUUUGACUAAAGUGCAAAAACACUUGAUAAGAGGUUCAGAGCUUGUAUACACAGAAUUCAGAGUUUGUUCAGCGCACGUUCAAUCCUUGAU